ACUGCUCAGUAACACGUGGACAACCUACCCUCAGAUCUGGGAUAAACCUGGGAAACUGGGUAUAAUACCGGAUAGGUCUUGGAUGCUGGAAAUGCACCGAGGCCCAAAGCUCCGGCGUCUGAGGAUGGGUCUGCGGCCUAUCAGGGUAGUAGUGGGUGUAAAGUACCUACUAGCCUACGACGGGUACGGGUCGUGAGAGCGAGAGCCCGGAGAUGGAUUCUGAGACACGAAUCCAGGCCCUACGGGGUGCAGCAGGCGCGAAAACUUUACAAUGCCGGCAACGGCGAUAAGGGGACCUCGAGUGCCAGGAUACAAUCCUGGCUGUCGUAAUGCCUAAAAAGCAUUAUAUAGCAAGGGCCGGGCAAGACCGGUGCCAGCCGCCGCGGUAACACCGGCGGCUCGAGUGGUAACCGCUAUUAUUGGGUCUAAAGGGUCUGUAGCCGGCCUGGUAAGUCUUUUGGGAAAUCCGGCAGCUCAACUGUCGGGCUAUCAGAGGAUACUGCUAGGCUCGAGACCGGGAGAGGUGAGAGGUACUUCAUGGGUAGGGGUGAAAUCUUGUAAUCCUUGAAGGACCACCAGUGGCGAAGGCGUCUCACCAGAACGGAUCUGACGGCAAGGGACGAAAGCUAGGGGCACGAACCGGAUUAGAUACCCGGGUAGUCCUAGCCGUAAACGAUACUCGCUAGGUGUCGGCCACGGUGCGACCGUGGUCGGUGCCGUAGGGAAGCCGUGAAGCGAGCCACCUGGGAAGUACGGCCGCAAGGUUGAAACUUAAAGGAAUUGGCGGGGGAGCAC
rnacentral:rRNA from 1 species